CCCUUGGUGGUAUAAAUUGUUAAAGCACUCGGCUGCUAACUGAAGGGCUGGUGGUUCAAAUCCACCCAGAGGCA
rnacentral:tRNA from 1 species